rnacentral:rRNA from 1 species
AUGCACUCAUACAGCAACACUGCAAGGAUCCUACAAGUCUACAACGAGAAGCAUGUGCACAACAGAGUACUAGUCGCAGCAACUCCUUCAGGAGUCGCUGCAGAGACAAGGAUGUCCACCAAUGCACCUACAAACGAUCUCGAGCAGCUUACUACCGCUAAAGCAUCGUCGGGGCACCAACAUUCUCCCAGAGUGAUGCGGCGGCGCUCCCCUUCUCAGGAACGGAACCAUCGAGGACACAAACAAAAAUCCCCAGCGCCACCGCACAUUCCGCUAGAGAGAUCAUCGCAAGCUACGCCCCCCGAAACAACCCACCAAUAA